CAAUAAGUGUUCAAUGGCACUUUAAAAUCCAUCACCCACCUUGUGUGCAAUGUAAGGAGGAGGGGGUUUGUCAGACUUGUUGGUCUGGUUUCCCCUCUUUCAUUAUACAUACCAAUCUUCUCUUGUUGUCUACUUUUUGAGUAUAAAAAAACUCGAAUA
rnacentral:misc_RNA from 1 species